rnacentral:tmRNA from 1 species
GGCCUUCAAAUUCGCGCCGAAACGCCUAUAUGCGUUUCUGCCGGCUCGUCCGGCUAUGGCGAUAAAUUGCAGUGUUUAAUAGACGCAGCGGACCCGGGGGCAGUACCCGGCGGCUCCACCAAAUGCCCCGUUCCGGCGGGGUCUCUGACGGGGCCGAACUAGGAUCGACGUGUGUUGAAACGCACUGUUUUUGCCCGGGCUGAGUAACCCGUUAAAGGCUCAUAACCACAAGUGCCAACGAUAACGAGGCGCUCGCGAUUGCCGCGUAACAAGGUCCUCACGGACUAAGUUACAAGGACGAAAGCGCGGUUGGGACCGCACCGGGCAACAGAAGCGGUAACG